rnacentral:rRNA from 1 species
GCGUGCCUAAUACAUGCAAGUCGAGCGAGCUUGCCUAUAGAAGUUCUUCGGAAUGGAAAUAGAUACAAGCUAGCGGCGGAUGGGUGAGUAACGCGUGGGUAACCUGCCCUUAAGUCUGGGAUACCAUUUGGAAACAGAUGCUAAUACCGGAUAAAAGCUACUUUCGCAUGAAAGAAGUUUAAAAGGCGGCAUUAAGCUGUCGCUAAAGGAUGGACCUGCAGAUGCAUUAGCUAGUUGGUAAGGUAACGGCUUACCAAGGCGAUGAUGCAUAGCCGAGUUGAGAGACUGAUCGGCCACAUUGGGACUGAGACACGGCCCAAACUCCUACGGGAGGCAGCAGUAGGGAAUCUUCCACAAUGGACGAAAGUCUGAUGGAGCAACGCCGCGUGAGUGAAGAAGGUUUUCGGAUCGUAAAGCUCUGUUGUUGGUGAAGAAGGAUAGAGGUAGUAACUGGCCUUUAUUUGACGGUAAUCAACCAGAAAGUCACGGCUAACUACGUGCCAGCAGCCGCGGUAAUACGUAGGUGGCAAGCGUUGUCCGGAUUUAUUGGGCGUAAAGCGAGCGCAGGCGGAUUGAUAAGUCUGAUGUGAAAGCCUUCGGCUCAACCGAAGAACUGCAUCAGAAACUGUCAAUCUUGAGUGCAGAAGAGGAGAGUGGAACUCCAUGUGUAGCGGUGGAAUGCGUUCAUAUAUGGAAGAACACCAGUGGCGAAGGCUGCUCUCUGGUCUGUACACUGACGCUUAGGCUUGAAAGCAUGGGUAGCGAACAGGAUUAGACACCAUGGUAGUCCACGCCGUAAACGAUGAGUGUUAAGUGUUGGCACGUUUCCGCCUCUCAGUGAUGCAGUUUACGCAUUAAGCACUCCGCCUGGGGAGUACGACCGCAAGGUUGAAACUCAAAGGAAUUGACGGGGGCCCGCACAAGCGGUGGAGCAUGUGGUUUAAUUCGAAGCAACGCGAAGAACCUUACCAGGUCUUGACAUCCUUUGACCACCUAAGAGAUUAGGUUUUCCUUUCGGGGACAAAGAGACAGGUGGUGCAGGCUGUCGUCAGCUCGUGUCGU